rnacentral:rRNA from 1 species
CUGAGAGGUUGAACGGCCACAUUGGGACUGAGACACGGCCCAGACUCCUACGGGAGGCAGCAAGUGGGGAAUAUUGCACAAUGGGGGAAACCCUGAUGCAGCGACGCCGCGUGGAGGAAGAAGGUCUUGGAUUGUAAACUCCUGUUGCUGAGGAAGAUAAUGACGGUACUCAACAAGGAAGUGACGGCUAACUACGUGCCAGCAG